AUUGAACGCUGGCGGAAUGCUUUACACAUGCAAGUCGAACGGCAGCACGGGGCAACCUGGUGGCGAGUGGCGAACGGGUGAGUAAUACAUCGGAACGUGCCCAGUCGUGGGGGAUAACGUAGCGAAAGUUACGCUAAUACCGCAUACGAUCUAAGGAUGAAAGCGGGGGAUCGCAAGACCUCGCGCGAUUGGAGCGGCCGAUGUCAGAUUAGGUAGUUGGUGGGGUAAAGGCCUACCAAGCCGACGAUCUGUAGCUGGUCUGAGAGGACGACCAGCCACACUGGGACUGGGACACGGCCCAGACUCCUACGGGAGGCAGCAGUGGGGAAUUUUGGACAAUGGGCGCAAGCCUGAUCCAGCCAUUCCGCGUGCAGGAUGAAGGCCUUCGGGUUGUAAACUGCUUUUGUACGGAGCGAAAAGGCUCUCUCUAAUACAGGGGGCUCAUGACGGUACCGUAAGAAUAAGCACCGGCUAACUACGUGCCAGCCGCCGCAGUAACAC
rnacentral:rRNA from 1 species